CAUCACAUGUAAAUACUGUACUCCAUUGACAUUGUAAUCUCCAUUCACAUGUAACAUUAUUGUACCUCACGGUUGGUCACGGUCACGUCCUUACGAUACGACGGGGAAGUAUAUCCAGGGUAGAAUAUUAGAGGUCCAGCUGGCCCCCUCUCAUUAAGCAAAUUAAGUAAUUAAACACUCGCUCUGGUCAGUGAGAUGCCAUUGUCUCUGGGCAAUACCAAUAGGAGUGACAGCGGGUAGGGAGGUCACUAAUAGAUGACCAGCCAUCCCACGCUAAUCGAACACACGUGCUGUCCCCUAAAUAUAGUACUGGACAGGGGAUUAAACUAUAGCCCCUGAUCAGCGGAACACUGGACAAAGGACACUUUGGCUAAGUCAUGAUAAUGAGGCAAAGCCAUAAUUAAUGUCCAGAAAUGAUGAUUAGAGUCCUAAUUAGGAUUAGGAGCAAAUGGGGAGAGCGAAGAAGGUUGACUCAUCACUGACCAGAUGCGAAGGGGGGCCAAAGACAAAGGACCAAGAAUGACCAACCCUGGGUAUAUAACGGGACAGGCAAUAGGCCUGAGAGGAGAAGCUGCAGAGAAGUUCGAGCCUACGCUUGAAAGUGUAGCACUGAAUAAACAGUUGUGGACCCGCA